rnacentral:lncRNA from 1 species
UCAGAGAAACACUGAAAGGUUCUUGCAUUAAGGACUUCAGAGUGUGACCCUGCGAAUGCCAGAGGCCAGCUAGCAUCUUCCUCCAGAAGCACAUAUCGGGUCUUGACCACAGAGGGUGGUUAGUGUGCAGCACUGCAGUACACACAACCCAACCUGCUGCAAAAUUACUCCCCCAGAUGGAUCCCCUCCACUAAGGACAAUAUAAGUCAGACAUUAGAAGGUGGGGCACAAUGCUGCGCUUGGGAAGAUGCUUUCCUUCGAAAUAAGGCUGAGCUACAAGGAAAACUGCCUGCAGAAGAGCUUUGCUGAAUUUAAGAAUCAUGUUCUGUCUGAGUACGGAAUUA